rnacentral:lncRNA from 1 species
GAAUAGCUAACCACUCCACUUAAAAGAAAUAAAUUUCUAUUUAUAUUAAGUUCAGCAGUAAGUAAAACUAAUCCACAGUAAUAGAAAUCAAAUCACUGGCAACUUGAGGUGACAGAGGAGGGGAUUGAUUGAAAAGAGGCACAGGGAAAUUUGAGGAUUAAAAUGGUUGGGUAUAUGUCAAAAUUCACUGAACAGUACACUUAAAAUGUGUGGGUAUUUACUGUAUAUAAAUUAUACCUC